rnacentral:rRNA from 1 species
UACAGAGGUCUCAAGCGUUGUUCGGAUUCAUUGGGCGUAAAGGGUGCGUAGGCGGCGCGGUAAGUCGGGUGUGAAAUCUCGGAGCUUAACUCCGAAACUGCAUUCGAUACUGCCGUGCUUGAGGACUGGAGAGGAGACUGGAAUUUACGGUGUAGCGGUGAAAUGCGUAGAUAUCGUAAGGAAGACCAGUGGCGAAGGCGGGUCUCUGGACCGGUUCUGACGCUGAGGCGCGAAAGCGUGGGGAGCAAACGGG